CCCCUAGAUGUUCUGGGCCGCACGCGCGCUACACUGAACAGUUCAACAAGUCUUAACCUUGGCCGAGAGGUCUGGGUAAUCUUUGAACGCUGUUCGUGAUUGGGAUAGACCUUUGCAAUUAUGGGUCUUCAACGAGGAAUUCCUAGUAAACGCAAGUCAUCAGCUUGCAUUGAUUACGUCCCUGCCCUUUGUACACACCGCCCGUCGCACCUACCGAUUGAAUGGUCCGGUGAAAUCUCGGGACGGCGGCUUGGUCGCUUGCGUCCGACUGCUGAAACUUGAUUAAACCAUAUCAUUUAGAGGAAGGUGAAGUCGUAACA
rnacentral:rRNA from 1 species